AACAUCGCCUUUUGAAUAUAUAGAAGGUCUAACCUGCCCACUGAGGAAAUUGAAGGGCCGCGGUAUUUUGACCGUGCAAAGGUAGCAUAAUCAUUAGUCUUCUAAUUAAAGGCUGGAAUGAAUGGUUGGACGAGGUGCUUGCUGUCUCGUUAAAGUAGAUUGAAUUUAACUUCUUAGUUAAAAGGCUGAGAUGAAGUUGAGGGACGAGAAGACCCUAUAAAGCUUUAUAAAUAUAUUUAUGUUAAAUGUGGGCGAGAUUUUUGAUGUAGGUGGAUUUAUUGUGUUGGGGUGACAGGAAAAUAGAAGAACUUUUCAUUAUACUACACUGAUUGGUGAUUUAAUGGUCCAAUAUUAUUGAUUAUAAGAUUAAGUUACUUUAGGGAUAACAGCGUAAUUCUUUUAGAGAGUUCUAAUCGAUAAAAGGGUUUGCGACCUCGAUGUUGGACUAAGGGAAAUUUUGGGUGUAGAUGUUCAAAGUUUAAGUCUGUUCGACUUUUGAAACCUUACAUGAUC
rnacentral:rRNA from 1 species